AUUGAACGCUGGCGGCAGGCUUAACACAUGCAAGUCGAGCGGGGAAAAGUAGCUUGCUACUGGACCUAGCGGCGGACGGGUGAGUAAUGCUUAGGAAUCUGCCUAUUAGUGGGGGACAACAUCUCGAAAGGGAUGCUAAUACCGCAUACGUCCUACGGGAGAAAGCAGGGGACCUUCGGGCCUCGCGCUAAUAGAUGAGCCUAAGUCGGAUUAGCUAGUUGGUGGGGUAAAGGCCUACCAAGGCGACGAUCUGUAGCGGGUCUGAGAGGAUGAUACGCCACACUGGGACUGAGACACGGCCCAGACUCCUACGGGAGGCAGCAGUGGGGAAUAUUGGACAAUGGGGGGAACCCUGAUCCAGCCAUGCCGCGUGUGUGAAGAAGGCCUUUUGGUUGUAAAGCACUUUAAGCGAGGAGGAGGCUACCGAGAUUAAUACUCUUGGAUAGUGGACGUUACUCGCAGAAUAAGCACCGGCUAACUCUGUGCCAGCCGCCGCCGUAA
rnacentral:rRNA from 1 species